rnacentral:lncRNA from 1 species
CCCAGGCCCUGUCAUUCUGCCACUGAGCCUGGCUGUGCCUCUGCUCUGCCAAUCUAGCAAGAGCAGCCCUUAGGCCCUUGGACAGAUGCAGAGCAUUAGCAACUGGCCUGGCUGUGUGGCCACCACCGCUGUUCCCUUCCCUGGGCUCCCUCCCCCUUCUGGGAGAAAAGCAAGAUCCAAGAAGGACUUCCAGACUGAGCUGGGGUGCUGAGGGCCACACACAUGCCAGUCCUGGAGUGGCGAGGGCAGUGAGUGCCAAGGUUACCAGCCACUGGGCUGCGGAGCUGCUGGGCUGUUGUCAUGGAGACGGCUGGGCUGCUGCUGCUGGGAAAGGAAGCAAUUAGCCCAAAA